rnacentral:rRNA from 1 species
UACGAAGGGGGCUAGCGUUGCUCGGAAUUACUGGGCGUAAAGCGCACGUAGGCGGUCUUUUAAGUCGGGGGUGAAAUCCUGGAGCUCAACUCCAGAACUGCCUUCGAUACUGGAAGACUUGAGUCCGGGAGAGGUGAGUGGAACUGCGAGUGUAGAGGUGAAAUUCGUAGAUAUCGGGAGGAACACCAGUGGCGAAGGCGGCGACCUGGGCCAAUAUUGACGCUGAGGUGCGAAAGCGUGGGGAGCAAACAGG